rnacentral:rRNA from 1 species
AUCGAACGCUGGCGGCAUGCUUUACACAUGCAAGUCGAACGGUAACAGGCCGCAAGGUGCUGACGAGUGGCGAACGGGUGAGUAAUGCAUCGGAACGUGCCCAGUCGUGGGGGAUAACGCAGCGAAAGCUGCGCUAAUACCGCAUACGAUCUGUGGAUGAAAGCGGGGGACCGUAAGGCCUCGCGCGAUUGGAGCGGCCGAUGUCAGAUUAGGUAGUUGGUGGGGUAAAGGCUAACCAAGCCAACGAUCUGUAGCUGGUCUGAGAGGACGACCAGCCACACUGGGACUGAGACACGGCCCAGACUCCUACGGGAGGCAGCAGUGGGGAAUUUUGGACAAUGGGCGCAAGCCUGAUCCAGCAAUGCCGCGUGCAGGAAGAAGGCCUUCGGGUUGUAAACUGCUUUUGUACGGAACGAAAAGGCUCUGGUUAAUACCUGGGGCUCAUGACGGUACCGUAAGAAUAAGCACCGGCUAACUACGUGCCAGCAGCCGCCGUAACAC